rnacentral:rRNA from 1 species
UACGAAGGGGGCUAGCGUUGUUCGGAUUUACUGGGCGUAAAGCGCACGUAGGCGGAUAUUUAAGUCAGGGGUGAAAUCCUGGAGCUCAACUCCAGAACUGCCUUUGAUACUGAAGAUCUUGAGUCCGGGAGAGGUGAGUGGAACUGCGAGUGUAGAGGUGAAAUUCGUAGAUAUUAGGAAGAACACCAGUGGCGAAGGCGGCUCACUGGCCCGGUACUGACGCUGAGGCGCGAAAGCGUGGGGAGCAAACAGG